rnacentral:miRNA from 1 species
GCCGGAUAAAUCCUGUGUGCAU